AUUGAACGCUGGCGGCAGGCCUUACACAUGCAAGUCGAGCGAGCGGCGGACGGGUGAGUAAUGUCUGGGAAACUGCCUGAUGGAGAGGGAUAACUACUGGAAACUGUAGCUAAUACCGCAUUCCAUCACAUGUGCCCAGAUGGGCUUAGCUUGUCGGAGGGGUAAUGGCUCACCUAGGCGACGAUCCCUAGCUGGUCUGCGAGGAUGACCAGCCACACUGGAACUGAGACACGGUACAGACUCCUACGGGAGGCAGCAGUGGGGAAUAUUGCACAAUGGGCGAAAGCCGGAUGCAGCCAUGCCGCGUGUGUGAAGAAGGCCUUCGGGUUGUAAAGUACUUUCAGCGGGGAGGCGUUACCCGCAGAAGAAGCACCGGCUAACUCCGUGCCAGCAGCCGCGGUAAUAC
rnacentral:rRNA from 1 species